CCUACGGGUGGCAGCAGUGGGGAAUCUUGGACAAUGGGGGCAACCCUGAUCCAGCAAUGCCGCGUGGGUGAAGAAGGCCUUCGGGUUGUAAAGCCCUUUCGGCAGGGAAGAAAUCGGCGGGGCGAAUAACCAAACUGGAUGACGGUACCUGCAGAAGAAGCACCGGCUAACUACGUGCCAGCAGCCGCGGUAAUACGUAGGGUGCGAGCGUUAAUCGGAUUUACUGGGCGUAAAGCGUGCGCAGGCGGCCCGUUAAGACAGGUGUGAAAUCCCUGGGCUCAACCUAGGAAUUGCGCUUGUGACUGGCGGGCUCGAGUACGGUAGAGGGGGGUGGAAUUCCUGGUGUAGCAGUGAAAUGCGUAGAGAUCAGGAGGAACACCGAUGGCGAAGGCAGCCCCCUGGGCCUGUACUGACGCUCAUGCACGAAAGCGUGGGGAGCAAACAGGAUUAGAUACCCUGGUAGUCCACGCCCUAAACGAUGGGUACUAGCCGUUUGGUGCGCGAUAGCGCUGAGUGGCGAAGCUAACGCGUGAAGACCCUCU
rnacentral:rRNA from 1 species